rnacentral:rRNA from 1 species
GUACACUCCUGCGGGAGGCAGCAGUGGGGAAUUUUGGACAAUGGGCGAAAGCCUGAUCCAGCAAUGCCGCGUGAGUGAAGAAGGCCUUCGGGUUGUAAAGCUCUUUUGUCAGGGAAGAAACGGUGAGAGCUAAUAUCUUUUGCUAAUGACGGUACCUGAAGAAUAAGCACCGGCUAACUACGUGCCAGCAGCCGCGGUAAUACGUAGGGUGCAAGCGUUAAUCGGAAUUACUGGGCGUAAAGCGUGCGCAGGCGGUUUUGUAAGUCUGAUGCGAAAUCCCCGGGCUCAACCUGGGAAUUGCAUUGGAGACUGCAAGGCUAGAAUCUGGCAGAGGGGGGUAGAAUUCCACGUGUAGCAGUGAAAUGCGUAGAUAUGUGGAGGAACACCGAUGGCGAAGGCAGCCCCCUGGGUCAAGAUUGACGCUCAUGCACGAAAGCGUGGGGAGCAAACAGGAUUAGAUACCCCUGUAGUCCCAUG